GUAGGGAGGGUUUAAGACUUUUGUUGAGUGCUUCCUUCUACUAAAAUAUUUUUUGUCAAGAAUACUUCUCUGCUCAUUCCCUAAUGCCAUUUUUCUUUUUUUCAAGACAGUCAUUUUUUUCCUUUCCCUCCACUGAGAAAGAAUCGAUAACAUCCUAAGGAGCUCAUCUCAGGCUGGUAUCCAGUGACAAACCCUACUUCACAUUGUUUUCUGCAGUAUCAUUUACCUCACUCCCACCCAGCAGUUAGUUGUUCUCUCUUAAGUGUUCCUAAAGUUAUUUUUGGGAAAUUACAUGAGUUUAACAUUUUUUUCAUUGUGCUUUUCUUGCUUGUUUCUAUCACUGGAUCACAGGCAUAUUGGGAUCAGGAACUGCUUUCCUCAUUAUGAUACCCCUGCAUGGAACAGCACCUGGAGAGUAGGUGUUCAAUAAAUCCUCACUUAGAGGUUGAGUACCUACUAUGUACAAGCACCAUGCUUGGACUUCUCAGCGUGUCUUGCUGAACUAGACACAUCUGCUGUCUUUGUUUGUUCAAGCUGCUUUAACAAAAGACCAAAGAGUGGGUAAUUUAUAAAGAACAGAAAUUUCGAGCUUACAGUCCUGGGGUCUGGGAGGUUAAUGACCAAGGCACUAACAGGUUCAGUGUUUGGUGAGGGCAUAGUCUCUACUUCCAAGAUGGCACCUUGUUGCUGCAUUCUCCAGAGGGGAUGAACACUGCUUCUCAUAUGGGAAGAGAUGGAAGGGCAAAAAUGGACCUAUCUAGUUACUCCCAUCCCUUUUAUAAGGUCACUAACCCAUUUAUAAAGUUAUAUGGUUUGGAAGUCCCACCCAAAUCUCAUAUUGAAAUGUAAUCCCCAGUGUUGGAGGUGGGGCCUGGUGGGUGGUGACUGGAUUAUGGGGAUGGUUUUCUCAUGAAUGGUUUAGUACCAUCCUCUUGGUACUGUCCUUGAGAUAGUGAGUUCUCACGAGAUCUGGUCCUUUAAAAGCGUAUGGCACCUCCCGCCUCACUGUCUUGCUCCUGCUCCCACCAUGUGAGACGCCUGCUCCCCCGUGAACUCCCACCAUGACUGUAAGCUUCCUGAGGCCUACCCAGAAAUAGAUGCCCGUGUUAUGCUUCCUGUACAGUGUGCAGAACCAUGAGCUAAUUAAACAUCUUUUCUUUAUAAAUUACUCAGUCUCCAGUGUUUCUUU
rnacentral:lncRNA from 1 species